CGGGUGAGUAAUGUCUGGGAAACUGCCUGAUAGAGGGGGAUAACUGCUGGAAACGGUAGCUAAUACCGCAUAACGUCGCAAGACCAAAGAGGGGGACCUUCGGGCCUCUUGCCAUCGGAUGUGCCCAGAUGGGAUUAGCUAGUAGGUGGGGUAACGGCUCACCUAGGCGACGAUCCCUAGCUGGUCUGAGAGGAUGACCAGCCACACUGGAACUGAGACACGGUCCAG
rnacentral:rRNA from 1 species